AUUGAACGCUGGCGGCAUGCUUUACACAUGCAAGUCGGACGGCAGCACAGAGGAGCUUGCUUCUUGGGUGGCGAGUGGCGAACGGGUGAGUAACGCAUCGGAACGUACCGAGUAAUGGGGGAUAACUGUCCGAAAGGACAGCUAAUACCGCAUACGCCCUGAGGGGGAAAGCGGGGGAUCUUAGGACCUCGCGUUAUUCGAGCGGCCGAUGUCUGAUUAGCUGGUUGGCGGGGUAAAGGCCCACCAAGGCGACGAUCAGUAGCGGGUCUGAGAGGAUGAUCCGCCACACUGGGACUGAGACACGGCCCAGACUCCUACGGGAGGCAGCAGUGGGGAAUUUUGGACAAUGGGCGCAAGCCUGAUCCAGCCAUGCCGCGUGUCUGAAGAAGGCCUUCGGGUUGUAAAGGACUUUUGUCAGGGAAGAAAAGGAACGUGUUAAUACCA
rnacentral:rRNA from 1 species